rnacentral:rRNA from 1 species
AUUGAACGCUGGCGGCAUGCCUUACACAUGCAAGUCGAACGGUAACAGGUCUUCGGAUGCUGACGAGUGGCGAACGGGUGAGUAAUACAUCGGAACGUGCCUAGUAGUGGGGGAUAACUACUCGAAAGAGUGGCUAAUACCGCAUGAGAUCUACGGAUGAAAGCAGGGGAUCACAAGACCUUGUGCUACUAGAGCGGCCGAUGGCAGAUUAGGUAGUUGGUGGGAUAAAAGCUUACCAAGCCGACGAUCUGUAGCUGGUCUGAGAGGACGAUCAGCCACACUGGGACUGAGACACGGCCCAGACUCCUACGGGAGGAAGCAGUGGGGAAUUUUGGACAAUGGGCGCAAGCCUGAUCCAGCAAUGCCGCGAGCAGGAUGAAGGCCUUCGGGUUGUAAACUGCUUUUGUACGGAACGAAAAGCCCUGGGUUAAUACCCUGGGGUCAUGACGGUACCGUAAGAAUAAGCACCGGCUAACUACGUGCCAGCCGCCGCCGUAAAAC